rnacentral:lncRNA from 1 species
CCAGCCCCCGAUUUGGCUAUAGGCCGGUAGAUCUGGGAGGCCACCACAACAAGCAUCCUUGAACUUUACCUCAAAUCAUUCAUCUUGACAUUUACAGGUACACAUACGUUGGUAUGUAUCCAUCCUUGGCUGCUCUAAUCAUUUUCAUUUGCUUCAGUCCCCAAUCUAGUUCGCAGGAAACGUAGAUGUAGUAGAAUCUUCUCAAUUGUAUAUUUUUGGUCAAUUCCUGAAUUUCUCGUCAAACCAUGGAAUAAUUUCUGAUCCUUCAUCGUGGAUAAAUUGCUGAAUUGUUUUUCAUUCGUAUCCUACAUGCAUCACCAUUUGUUACCGAAACAUAAAGUCCUAUUUGUCAGAUUUUUUUUCAGAUCUUGCAGAUAGUUAUUUCAAGUUUAGCAAUGAGCAGACUCUUAACUUAUGUACCUGCAACUACAAACUUGCAGUACUGUAGAUGGGAAGUAACAUUGGUGAGAUCGAACAUCCUCUGCCCAAGAGGUUAUUUAGAUUUUACCAUGUACUGUUGCUUGUGUUAGCAUUCGGUCCUGUAAGAUUCUGUACAAAAAUUAAUUAGGAACACUCUUAGAUGUUCGCGCUGUGGUCGGUGGCCGUUGAUUCACAGCAGGUGGAGCAGGCUUGUAGUGUCGCUUGUGUUCCUCAUCAUCGGGUUAUAUUGGUCGUUGCAUUCUUGUUGAUGUGGUUUGCAUCUCCAUCUCCUCCUACCAUGAUGGUUGGUGACUAGCCAUUCGCGGCUGGAGCUAUUCAAUAUUGCAUCUUCUCCGUCAAUUUACAUCAGUAUGUGUCAAAUUAAACUUAUUCGCAGGUGCAUUUGAGUGAGAGCUAUGGACACUUGAGUGCUGACCAGAUCUAAACUUAUUCCAGAUUUUGGACUAGGAGAAGCUUUCCGCCCUGCAAGUAUGUAGAUGUAUUCCAGAGCAAGGAAAAAAACACCAAGUGAGAUGUAUUCCUUGCCAUUUUACUAAGCAGGUGCAUUCAUAUUCUUUUUAUGUCCUGUUUGACAAUGUAUACAAUUGAUUGCUUUGAAAUGCCUACAUUACGGGAGUACAAUAAAAGUGAGUUGAGAAUAUUGUUCUUGAUUGAGUAAAAAACACUGAUUUAACUCAUGCUUUUCUGUUGACAUACACUCACAUUAUGGAUUGAAGUUCUCAUGAUGGUAAUGAUGAGUGUGCAAGGGCCGUACAGGUCAUACAUAGGUCUAAUUAACAAAUCACAGAAAGGAGAGGAGGAAGCUGAGCAACACUCCUUUUUCUAUUUGGAACCUGCACCAUUGGGUAUGUAGGAAAUUAUUCUUUGCCUCUAUUGGUUGUACCUUAUUCUGUAGUGUACUGCCAAUACCAUGGCGAAAGAAGUCCAGAUAACCCCCUGGGAUUUCACAGACUGGCCAGCUUACCCCACAAGGUCAAAAAUCAGCUAUUUACCACCCUGAUCUUUCCUAAACCAGGUGAAUCACACCCUAACACCGAUUAGAGUAGUUUUUCAGGCGGUUUUGUUGGACAUAGCGAGAUGCAGCUCGUUUCUGAUCGUUCUGCACCAGCCUCGUCCAUCCUCCUCCGAGCACGAGCGGUGUCGUUCCACUCGCGGGCGCUCGCCUACUCCCGCUAUUCUAAUUGUGUGCAUCUCGACGUCACCCUCCACGACUCCAGGUUUCCCAGCGUAUGCCGCCGCGGUUCAAGGGAUUCUUCCAGACGUCUACACCGUUGCGUUUGUGCUGUGCAACCGCGGCUGCCGUGCCGGGGUGCCCCCACCGGCACAACCCGCCAACUGAGCAAGUUCUUGCAAGGGAUCGUCCCGCACUACCGGCUGUCGUACUGAAGCUCUCUGUGGCGAAUGAUGAUGGGGCGGUCGAGGUCAUUGACGACGGUGACAAGCAGGAUAUGGACGAGGGAAGCAGCGAGGAACUGGAGCGAGUCGCCGGCGAGGUGGACAAACUUCUUGAUGUUUAUACAAGGUCCAGAUCACGCGUGAAUGCAAGCUCCAACGAAGAUGUUGAACAUAUUUGUGCAUGUAUCUGUUAGGAUAAUCUCCUACCGGCCCCGCCUCUAGUUUCCUUGUAUAGAUGAGGCUGAGGGCUGCCCUUGUACCUAUAUAUACGUGCACCGUGCACCCGAUCAACAUAUCGAGAGUUGCAUUGCCUCUAAUAUGGUAUCAGUUUUUUUCCGAUCCAAUCCUAGCUUCCGCUCCUAGCCGCUGCAGCCACAGCUCCUAGCUGCCGCCGCCGCCAUCUCCUGCGCCGCCGCUGCACCCUCAACCCGCCGCCGCGCGCGCAUCACCCCUCCCCAUCCCUCUCUCCUCCUGAGUCGUCUCCCUUCCCCUACCCGAUCGCCCCGAACCACCUCCCUCCCACCCGCUCCCACCCGAUCGCAUCUCCCCGCCAGCCGCGCCGCUCCUCCUCCCCUCGGCCGUCACUGCACCCAUGGCGUCUCCCCACUCCGCUGCCUCCCUCCCCUCUAAUCCCUUCGACGGUCCGGCCCCUCUCUCGGUGGAGGUCGUCCGCGAUCUCGACAUCUUCGCCCGCGUGCCCGUCGUUCUUGACUACGCCUCCUCCACCUACUAUGCCUGGAAAACCUACUUCUCCCUCGUCUUCCGUGAGUACCACCUCAUCGAUCACGUUGAUGGCUCUGUCGACUCCGGCCUCAUGUUCGCGGACGACGACUGGCUGACCAUCGACGCCACCAUCACGUGCUAGCUGUACCAAACCAUCUCCAAGGACAUCUUCCACACCAUUGUUUGCGACACCGAUGACGCGCAGACGGUGUGGGUAAAGCUGAACGGGCUCUUCCUCGACAACGCCCUCCAGCGCCGCGUGUUUCUUCAGCAGGAAUUUUUUGGCUGCCAGCAGGUUGACUCGUCCAUCGACGAUUAUUGCAUGCGCCUUAAGAAACUUGCUGACGAACUUCGUGACCUCGGGGAGCGAGUCUCCGACGACCUCCUCCUCAGCACGCUCACCGCUGGUCUGAACGAGGAGUUCGACAACGCGGCCUCCAACCUCAUGUUCCUCCCGGACCCGACCUUUCCUCGGGUUGUGGCCUACCUUCGGUUGGAGGAGAGGAGGAUGAAGAUGGUGAAGUCCCGGGCCACGCACACGGCUCUCGCGGUGGGCACCUCCCCCGCCGCCCCUCCCACGGCGCCGCAGCCGCAGCGGCCUCCGCUGCCGCCGCCGGCGUUAUACUUCCAGGCGCCACCGGCACCCGUCUACCAGCCGCCGCCCCCUGCCCCUGACCGCCGCCGCGGGGGGCGCCGCGGCAAGAAGCAGCAGCCGCACGGCACGGGGGAGGGGGCGCCAGCCGCCGCCAUAGCAGCUGCCCCCCUGGGCCGCCGCGACCAACCCUUGGACGGGGGUGGUCCAUGCGUACACAAUGCAUGUGCCGCGGGCCCCCAUCCCGGCUGGGAUUCUCAGCCCCCGCCCCGGCGCGCAUCAGGCGUUCGUCGCCGCCCUGGGUAGCUACCCCAUCGCGACCCCUCCAUACGCCGCGGCCAUGCCUGGCUACGCCGCCCCUGGUGGCUACCCGUCGCCCCUCCAGCCGCGGCCGCCGCACUCCCGCCAGCCCCUUGGGAUCUGGCUCUCCUUGCGGCGCUUCACUCCGCCCCUACACCCAACACGUACACCGGCGGCGGCGACUGGUAUAUGGAUUCCGGGGCUACCACCCACAUGACUACCAACCCUAGUAACCUCAACUCCGUAUUUCCAGUUUCUACCGCAUGUCGUAUCACUGUUGGGGACGGGUCUUCCCUUCCCAUUACUCAUGUCGGUCAUGGUUCCUUUCCAUAUAACUCUACGCCUAUUCACAUGUCUAAUGUCUUAGUUUCACCUGAGUUAGUCACUAAUCUUGUUUCUGUUCGUUCUCUUACACAUGAAAAUCCUUUAACUGUUGAAUUUGACGAAGUUGGUUUUUCUGUCAAGGACACUCGUACCCGGAUGGUGCUCCACCGAUGUGACAGCCCGAACGGCCUCUACCCGGUGACCUCCACCGCCACUUCCACAUCCGCAUCGGUCGCUCUCUCCGCCAUGGUGGACCUUUGGCAUGCUCGGCUGGGACAUCCAAACCCGGCCACCCUUUGUCAUAUUCUUAGGACUUUUUCAUUCACGUCUAAUAAAACCGAUGAUCACACUUGUCGUCUCGGCAAGCAUGUCCAUCUUCCGUUUAGUGCGUCCUCAUCGAUGCCGUCCUAUCCAUUUGAGUUGCUUCAUAGUGAUUUGUGGACAUCUCCGGUUGCCAGUAAUACGGGUUUUUAUACUAUCUUGUCAUACUUGAUGAUUUUUCGCACUAUGUGUGGACCUUCCCGUUGCGGAGAAAAUCCGAUGCACUCUUCGUUCUUACUACCUUUUACUCCUAUGUCGCUACACAGUUUGGGCGUCCCAUCCAUGCCUUGCAGACCGACAACGGGAAGGAGUUCGACAACGUCGGAGUUCGCACCCUCCUUGCCACACACGGCACGAUUUUUCAUCUCACCUGCCCGUGUACCUCGCAACAAAAUGGUCGCGCCGAACGGAUCCUUCGCACCCUCAAUGAUUGUGUAUGCACUCUUCUUUUUCACGCCAAUGUCCCUCCCUGGUUUUGGCCGGACGCUCUCUCCACCGCCUCUCUCCUCAUCAAUGUUCGUCCGACUCGUGCUCGUGGGAACUUUGCACCACAUCAUCUCCUCUUCGGUAGCCCACCCUCAUAUGAUGAUCUUCGUGUUUUUGGGUGUCUCUGUUAUCCUAGCAUCGCCUCCACUACUCCUCAUAAACUCGCACCUCGCUCCGUGGCAUGCAUCUGUCUCGGAUACCCACCAAACACCAAAGGCUAUCGUUGCUAUGAUCCGGUUUCCCACCGAGUUUUCACUUCUCGGCACGUUUACUUUGACGAGAGGUCUUUUCCUUUUCACCAGGUACCGCCGCCAGCCGACUCGCCAUCGUCAUCCGCGCCUUCCGGUGCCCCUAGGGGAGGCCGCUCACUCGCGCUCGGGCCCCCUCCCGGCUUCGGGCCCCCUGUAGCGCAUGGCCCUUCCCCUGGCUUUGGCUCCCCCGCCGCGCCUGGGCCCCGCUCUGGGUCCGCGGCGCCGGACCCGGACCCCGCUGGCUCGCCGGCCCGCUCCCCGGUGGCCAUGUCACCUCCGACUCCCGUUGAGUCCGUAGCCCGGUCAGCGAGCACAUCCCAUGCGCCUGACCCGGGCUCCUCGACGGCUUCUGCCGGCCCGGCUGCAUCCUCGCCGGCGGCCACGGCGCCCCCGACUCCCGUUGAGUCUGCAGCCUGGGCAGUGAUCGUGUCUCCCGCUCCUGAUCCCGACUCCUCGACGGCUUCUUCGCCUGCCUCGUCGCCGGCCCCGCCGACCACGUCGGCCGCACCGAUCCAGCCGGUAGCCCCGGACACCCGCAUGGUCACUCGUGCUCGCGCUGGCAUUCACCGGCCCAGCAAGCGCUAUUCUGCGGAUGAGUACCUCCUCGCUGCCUCGACGCCCGCUCCGUCACCUCUCCUGUCGUCCGCUCGAGCCGCACUUCGCGAUCCGCAUUGGCUCGUGGCGAUGCAGGAGGAGUUCGACGCGUUGGUGCGCAACCGCACCUGGCAGCUUGUCCCGCGGCCACCCCAUGCCAACGUUAUCUCUGGCAAGUGGGUAUUCCGGCAUAAGACUCGUCCUGACGGGUCUCUCGAGCGCUAUAAGGCUCGGUGGGUGGUCCGCGGGUUUCGGCAACGCGCUGGAGUCGACUUCACCGACACGUUCACCCCGGUUGUCAAACCGGGCAUGAUUCGCAUGUAUCUGUUAGGAUAAUCUCCUACCGGCCCCGCCUCUAGAUGAGACUGAGGACUGCCCUUGUACCCAUAUAUACGUGCACCGUGCACCCGAUCAACAUAUCGAGAGUUGCAUUGCCUCCAAUAGAAGAUAAUACACAAGUAUAGACCUGUUUCCCUCCUGGAGACCUGGACAAGCACGCACAUAGACACAAGAAGUACAUGCCACCAUGUCUGAGAUGGACAUGACUAACCGUGUUUAGUAACUAACAGUGGAACUCGACAGCUGCCGGCGGCACGGGCGCCAGCUCGAUACGCGGCGCAUAUGUUGUCCAUGGAGGACGAAGCGGACGUGGCCGGCAAGAGCGUUGCCGAGGCGACUACGACGACGACCACACACGAGAGGUUCGGUGGCAAGUCAAGAUUGCAUGCGAGCCAAACCAUAGUCGCAUGUGCAUGGUUUCUAGAGCCCGAUGCCGAACAAGGAGCUGGUGCUUCCAAGGAACCGGGAGCCUUGCCAAAUUGCUAUCACAUUGACACCAUUUUCUUUACCAGAGGCAGAGGCGGGCAGAGCUCUACGAAAGGAGCUUCGUGAACCACGCCGGGCUGAACUUCCUCGUGGCUGGCUGCUGGCUGGUGCUGCUGCCGAACAGUACCUCAACGAUGCAUGUGGUUUGGGUGGGAUGACCUGAGCAACAUGCGAUGGCAGAAAGGUGGGCGGAGGAACUAUGUCUACCUGGCACUCGCAACCUUCAAAACCGCCUGGAAAACCACUCUGAUCGGUGCUAGGGGGUGAUUCACCUGGUAUAGGAAAGAACAGGGGGUUAAAUACCCGGUUUUAGACCUGAGGGGGUAAAUGGGCCGGUUUGUGAAAUCCUAGGGGGUUAAGUGGACUUCUUUCGUACCAUGGCAUGCCAAUUGUUUGGAUAGAUCAAAAGGCAAGCUAAAGAUCAAUUAGAUAAAUGCUACUGUACUCGCACAUCUCACAUCUCGUUUAGCUUUAUACAUACCUUGAAUCAGCAUUUCUUGAAAACAUAUUUAUGCAGUCACACAUCUCACCUUGUUUUUUUUUAAAUUUUGCUUGAUUGGAACUAUAUACAUUUGUGUUGUCUAACUUGUAAUGCUCGCUGAUUGAAUUUGCAGCAUUUGAAUCCUCCUCAGAAGAGAAACAUGGUAUUAGCUAGUGCCAAAAAUGCCAACACAACUUGGCCAUGCUGCUAUCAACUUGCCUUGGUCCAAUACUUGCAAGCUUCUUCAUCUAUAACAAACAUCAAUCCUGGGAGCACUAGUUAAAGAGUUGGUGUUCUAUAGUCUAGCAAAAAGAUAUAGAGGAAGUCAUUGCCACUACUCCUACCAGAAGAUUAAGUUUAAGAAGAAAAUUUCUUGUUCUGGCUGCUGAUUAAUUGCCACUGAACUUAUCCACAUGUUAAUGUCAUAAUUGUUAUUGCUCUGCUACUUAGUUGCCAGUACAUUUUCUGUUUUCGAAAGAGCCCAAAAUUUACACAUCUAUGUUAUACAUGUCUCUGCCGGUGUCUCUUGUGGAUGCAUUUCUUGAACUAUAUAUGUCUUAUGAAUGCAUCUCUCAGCUGGAGCAUCCAUGUUAAAUUUGAGUUCAAAAUUAUC